UACGGGGGGGAGCAAGCGUUGUUCGGAUUUACUGGGCGUAAAGCGCGCGUAGGCGGCUCGAUCAGUCUGCUGUAAAAGUCAAGGGCUCAACCCUUGAAUGCCGGUCGAUACUGCCGGACUAGAGUCCGAAGAGGCGAGUGGAAUCCCUGGUGUAGCGGUGAAAUGCGUAGAUAUCAGGAGGAAUACCGGUGGCGAAAGCGACUCUCUGGACGGCAACUGACGCUGAGGCACGAAAGCGUGGGGAGCAAACAGG
rnacentral:rRNA from 1 species